UCCUCCCAGAAUCUCACCUUCCCCCGCGUGCACCGACUGCUUUUCUCCCGCGUGCGCUGGCUGCUUUUGGCCACCGAUACGCUGCGUCGGCGCUCCAAAGUUCCAGGUCAGGAGAGGCUAGAGUUCCAAAUCGUAGUUCGUGUGAACCAGUGUGAACCAGUUGAAUCUCAUCAAUCUUAUCAAGUCAUCUAAUAAAAAAAGGUUCGACGCGUCUUAGAGUUCUACGAUGCAUCCAAGAAUUCAGAGAACGUUGACAAAUAUAUAGAUCAGCUGACCAACAAUGAAUUGUCAUCACCACCCAAAAAGAUGAAGCACACCCAGGUUAACAAAGCCAUUCCAGAUUCUACAUGUUCCAAGAAUGACAACAGUUAGACCAUCCUGAAAUACAUCAAGGUUGGGCGGCUUCCGAAGUCAUUCAGACCUGCGUCCGAGCCUACAUCAU
rnacentral:lncRNA from 1 species